rnacentral:rRNA from 1 species
GUGUCAGCCGCCGCGGUAAUACGGAGGGGGCAAGCGUUAUUCGGAAUCAUUGGGCGUAAAGGGCGCGUAGGCGGCUUGGCAAGUCAAAGGUGAAAUCCCUCGGCCUAACCGAGGAACUGCCUUUGAAACUGCUUGGCUUGAGGCCGGGAGAGGGUAGCGGAAUUCCCAGUGUAGCGGUGAAAUGCGUAGAUAUUGGGAGGAACACCAGUGGCGAAGGCGGCUACCUGGACCGGUUCUGACGCUGAGGCGCGAAAGCGUGGGGAGCAAACAGGAUUAGAUACCCCCGUAGUCC